rnacentral:rRNA from 1 species
ACCCAAUAGAUACCCUGGUAGUCCACGCCGUAAACGAUGAGUGCUAAGUGUUAGAGGGUUUCCGCCCUUUAGUGCUGCAGCUAAACGCAUUAAGCACUCCGCCUGGGGAGUACGGCCGCAAGGCUGAAACUCAAAGGAAUUGACGGGGGCCCGCACAAGCGGUGGAGCAUGUGGUUUAAUUCGAAGCAACGCGAAGAACCUUACCAGGUCUUGACAUCCUCUGACACUCCUAGAGAUAGGACGUUCCCCUUCGGGGGACAGAGUGACAGGUGGUGCAUGGUUGUCGUCAGCUCGUGUCGUGAGAUGUUGGGUUAAGUCCCGCAACGAGCGCAACCCUUGAUCUUAGUUGCCAGCAUUCAGUUGGGCACUCUAAGGUGACUGCCGGUGACAAACCGGAGGAAGGUGGGGAUGACGUCAAAUCAUCAUGCCCCUUAUGACCUGGGCUACACACGUGCUACAAUGGAUGGUACAAAGGGCAGCAAAGCCGCGAGGCCUAGCCAAUCCCAUAAAACCCAUUCUCAGUUCGGAUUGUA